CAACAGGGAUUGCCCUAGUAACGGCGAGUGAAGCGGCAACAGCUCAAAUUUGAAAUCUGGCUCUCGGGCCCGAGUUGUAAUUUGUAGAGGAUGCUUUUGAUGCGGUGCCUUCCGAGUUCCCUGGAACGGGACGCCAUAGAGGGUGAGAGCCCCGUCUGGUUGGAUGCCAAAUCUCUGUAAAGCUCCUUCAACGAGUCGAGUAGUUUGGGAAUGCUGCUCUAAAUGGGAGGUAUAUGUCUUCUAAAGCUAAAUACCGGCCAGAGACCGAUAGCGCACAAGUAGAGUGAUCGAAAGAUGAAAAGCACUUUGAAAAGAGAGUUAAAAAGUACGUGAAAUUGUUGAAAGGGAAGCGUUUAUGACCAGACUUGGACUUGGUUAAUCAUCUGGGGUUCUCCCCAGUGCACUUUUCCAGUUCAGGCCAGCAUCAGUUUUCCCCGGGGGAUAAAGGCGGCGGGAAUGUGGCUCUCUUCGGGGAGUGUUAUAGCCCGCCGUGUAAUACCCUGGGGGGGACUGAGGUUCGCGCAUCUGCAAGGAU
rnacentral:rRNA from 1 species